rnacentral:rRNA from 1 species
GACGAACGCUGGCGGCGUGCCUAAUACAUGCAAGUAGAACGCUGAAGGAGGAGCUUGCUUCUCUGGAUGAGUUGCGAACGGGUGAGUAACGCGUAGAUAACCUGCCUGGUAGCGGGGGAUAACUAUUGGAAACGAUAGCUAAUACCGCAUAAGAGUAGAUGUUGCAUGACAUUUGCUUAAAAGGUGCAAUUGCAUCACUACCAGAUGGACCUGCGUUGUAUUAGCUAGUUGGUGGGGUAACGGCUCACCAAGGCGACGAUACAUAGCCGACCUGAGAGGGUGAUCGGCCACACUGGGACUGAGACACGGCCCAGACUCCUACGGGAGGCAGCAGUAGGGAAUCUUCGGCAAUGGACGGAAGUCUGACCGAGCAACGCCGCGUGAGUGAAGAAGGUUUUCGGAUCGUAAAGCUCUGUUGUAAGAGAAGAACGAGUGUGAGAGUGAAAAGUUC